AAGUCGUAAGCAAGGUUUCCGUAGG
rnacentral:rRNA from 1 species